UCAGAAAAAUUGUUCAAUCUAGGGUUUAAAAACAACGGGUUCUUUGGUUUCAGGAAAAUUAUCUCUAAUUCGUGGAAUUAGUGUUCUUAUUGUUUAUGUUCUUUUCGAAACCAGGUUAAGGGCUUCUAACGCACUGGUGAAUGAGCAGAAGGAUUGCCUGAUAAAGAAUCUUGUGUGUUUACGAGGGAAAGAGAGAAAAAGACAGUAGAGAUUAAAUUAGAAGAAGAGCUGGAAACUGAACCCAAUGAAGAGAAGAAACUUUGUGCUUGAAGCUUGCCUUACAGAAGAAUUUGCAUAUGGGAAAGCCGAGGGAUCUGCUUCUAAGAUUGAGUCUUUGCAUCAUCGAUGAUUAAGGCACAUUAGCCUCUAGAUGAGGAACAGUGGAUGCCCCAUCGCCUGCUCACUGACCACUUCAAAUAACUGAACAGUACAAAUGGCAAGAAACAAGAGAGGUAGAUGACAAAACCUCAUCUGUAACCUUUCCAUGGAGGAGGGAUAUCAUGCGUCAUCUUUGAUUAAAUCUACUGGGGAGAGUGAGUCCUUUUGCCUCCAUGUGUUGAAAAGUAAACACACAAGAUUCUGCUCAAAAAACACAACAACAAAUAUUCGAUGUUGUGUUUAGUUGUAUAAUCUGUUGUAAGUAUCUUUGCUGGAAAAACAUCUUCAGUUCAAGUUAUUCUUCAAUGUUGUGUUUAGUUGUAUAAUUUGGUUGGAAUAUUCGACUACAUUAGUAGUGGAAUUUGAGGUCUGAAUUUCAUUUGACAUUAGGUUGAUAUAUAAUAAACUAUUGGGUACGAGACUGGUAGGUCGAUUUGUUUUGUGAUGUUCGUUUCUCUUAGAAAUCAAUGAUACUCCUGAUGAGAUAGCUUUUACAAAAAUAACUCA